UCAGGUGCUGCUGGUUUGGCGAUUACAAGUUGAAUAACACUGCUCUAAACUACACAGCUAGAUGAGAUGGGGAAACUGAGGUCCCAGAAGAGAAAAAGACUAAAUCUGUUGCCCUCUGGCCCACUUCCUGGCUCGCCCUACUCAGCUAUCCUGCUGUUCACCGAUAAGUUUCCUGGAAAUGUAAAAUGAUGUUAGCUUGAAGAAGAGAUGAGGAAAGUGAAUCUGCUUUAUAUCGUCAGUGGUUCAUGAAAUAAUACAGUGCAAACAAUGAACCUUGUCUGUUUUGUUCAUUGCCCUGUCUCCAGUUUAUACAAGGAUGCCCGUGCACACCUGGCGAUACCUGGUACUCAAUAAAUAUUUGUUGAAGAAAAUGAAUGUGCACAAAAAACAAAGGAGGAACCAUGCCUAACCUCAUACAAAGAAAAUAGCUUCUUCCUUCGCCAAAACCCACCCUUGUUCUUUUUAAUUGCCUGGCUUCAACUGUCCAUCAAAGCCUUGAACUGCUGAGGACUAUGAUGUCAUCAUGGCUACACAGUGACUUCACCUUCCUGUUAGAAGGCCAUCUGCUGCAAGAUGACCCUCCACGGAAUACAAAAUACCGAUCCACACAGCUCCAGAGGCGGACGCUUGGAAGUCAUUAUUUUCUUGCCUUUGUCUGAACACUGAGUCUGACCUUCUUUUCCCGGGAAGUUUUGCUCCUUCCUGCUUCCUUCAUGGGCAGCGUUUGCAACCAGCAGGUGCUUUCAGAAGGAUGCAGAUAAACUGAAUCACGUUCAGAAGACGGGGCUGGGGUGAGAAAGGAUAAGAAAACAAGAAAGAAUGAGACAUGUUUAGCCCCAGCAGAACAGACAAGGGGCUAUAUUCACGUGGCUUUAAGGGACAGGCUUGGGGAAGAAAGACUCAACUAGUUCCAUAGGAGCCCAAAGAAUAGGAAGAGGGUUUUAGCUCAAAAUGAGGAAAUCCACAGCAGAACAUUGUUUUUUCAAAGGCAUGAGCUGUGGAGUCAGACUGACGUGGCCACUGAGCAGCCUCAGUGAUAAUCUCAGGGGACUGAAAUGGAUAAUCCACAAGAAGUACAAUGCCUAACAAAAAAGAAACCCACAAUAAAUGU